rnacentral:rRNA from 1 species
GUCCUAGCUGUAAACGAUGCACAUUAGGCGUGAGGGGUAUCGACCCCCUUCGUGCCGACGCAAACGCAUUAAAUGUGCCGCCUGGGGAGUACGGCCGCAAGGUUGAAACUCAAAGGAAUUGACGGGGGCCCCGCACAAGCGGUGGAGCAUGUGGUUUAAUUCGACGCAACGCGAAGAACCUUACCUAGGCUUGAACUACUGGAAGUAGUCUUGAUGAAAGUCGAGACGAACCGUCAAAUCGGAAACCAGCAGAGGUGCUGCAUGGCUGUCGU